UCAAAUGGUUGUAUGACCAUCAAGUACUGCAGAAACCUGUUAAUCACCCAGAGAUACAAUUCAGGUGUGUGGCAGAAUCCAAAACGGCUAAUGCCAAGCUUUGCACCAUGUUGUCAGAUAUGUUCAGGUGGAAGCCAGUGUUGAAGCCUUCCUCAUUGCUGUGGAACCAGGACAGCCCUUCCUCCUGCAUGUUUGUGAAAACAAGAGCAGCACCAAAGACACUUCACCAUCAAGGAUCACAAGACCAUCCAUGGCUGCUUUUGAAGAACUUUUAAAGUACAUUUCACCUUCAAUGCAAAGUACCAUGAAUUCCUCUACAACUUUAGUACAUUAAUCCAGCCUACAGUUUUCAACAUUGAUGGGACUUUUGCAUGACAAGUGAGGAGAUUAUUACCCUUGCUUUUAUUUUACCUGGCAGAGUGGACAGUCUUUAUUAUGAUCAUUUAAAUGCAUACUGUAUCAAUAAGCGGAUUUGUUUUAUGCUCUUCCAAUUAAGGACUUGGUUUAUUACAGUCUGUGACAGGGUUCUCUUAUGCUUGGACAAACAAAAAAUGACUGCCCAAGGCCAGAGAUCACUUUAGUGAAAUUUAUUCAGUUCUUCAAGUGAGCAAAAAGGUGGCAGGUGAAGAAGACAAAACAACAGUACCUUCAAGGUAAGAGUCAUCACCUUCGCUGUGAUCUGGCAGGAGUCUAGCCACAGACUGCCUCCCUGUGGCACAGAGCCCUGCUUUCACAGCCACAGGCUCCGCCCACAGAAAGACCAACCGAGCAAACAAAACAAUUACUUCUAAUCCAAAUAAACUCUUAAAGGGUACAAAAUUAUAAUAAUAAAAUAAACUUGUAAUCAAGAAUACAAUAAUCAAUUUAAUAGAGAACACUCAGAAUGCUCCGAUGACGUCAUUACGUCAUCACAUGACUCCUGGUGCGCCACAACUGGAAAUAACCCUGCUUGAAAACAAAAACUGGGAAAAUGUUUGGAAGUGAAAACAGGUUAGGAUGGAUGCAAACUGAAGCAGGAACACCGCAUGUGCACCACGAUGAACUGCAUCAGUUUAACCUGUAACAAAAGUAAGUUAGCGAUUGUGUGCGCAUGUUGACACAGACUCAUAAUUAAGUCCCGGCUCCUCCGUCACACCACCCCUCUCCUCUCCAAGGUUGGCGAAAUUCAGCAACCUAGAAAGAAAGUCUGCCACUCCUAUGACAGAUUGUAAACUUGUAAGGUUGCAAGGACAAAUACCACCUAGUUAGACGAUGAUUACUGUCCUUCAUGGUGUUGAUCCAGGUCAGGGCACAAUGAUCUGUCUCCAAAUCAAAUUCUCUGCCCAGCAGAUAGUACUUGAGACUUUCCAGAGCCCAUUUAAUGGCCAGGCCUUCUUUUUCCACCACAGAAUACCUCACCUCUCGAGGUAACAGCUUGCAGCUCAUGUAGAGUAUGGGUUGCUCCUCCCCAGGAUCUCCUUGAGCCAGGACAGCUCCUAGGCCGACUGUGGAUGCAUCUACCUGGACCAGGAAUCUCCUACUGAAAUCAGGACUUCAGAGGACAGGAGAUGAGCAUAAGUGAGCUUUCAGAGUGUUAAAAGAAGCUUCACACUCCUUGGUCCACGCCACAGGAUUCUUCUGGUCUUUAGCUGUCAAACUGUGAGUGGAGAAGCAAGUGUAGCAAAAUGAGGCACAAACCUUCGAUACCAGCCAGCUAGUCCCAGGAAUGACCGCACUUCCUUCUUGGUUCGGGGACGAGGGCAUUUUUGGAUCGCUUCAACUUUAUCCAUCUGUGGUCGCACCUCUCCUCUCCCCAGCUGGUAACCCAGGUAUCUGGUCUCCUGUUUGUGCCCAAACACACUUUGAAAUGUUAAGUGUCAACCCUGCUCCUCUAAUCUUUUCCAACACUCUUGCUAGAUGUGAGACAUGCUCCUCCCAGCUAUUGCUGUAAAUGAUUACAUCAUCUAGAUAAGCAGCACUAUAGUCUUCACUUCCUCGCAGUACUUUGUCCAUUAACCGCUGGAGCACCAUGCAGGCCGAAUGGCAUCACAGUAAACUGGAAAAGACCAGACGGGGUAUGAAAUGCUGUGUACUGUCUGCUUGAAGGCUUCAAUGGGACCUGCCAGUACCCUUUACACAGGUCAAGGGUGGUAAUGAACUUGGCUUUUCCAAUCCUUUCCAGCAGCUCAUCCACCCUGGGCAUGGGAUAGGCAUCAAACUCUGAAACUGCAUUAAGCUUUCUGAAAUCAAUGCAAAUCCGCAGUGAGCCAUCUUUCUUACACACGAUGACUACUGGGCUGCACCACUCAGAGUUUGAAGGUUUAAUAAUACCUGAUGUUAGCAUGGUCUCAACUUCAUCUCGCAGCUGCCCCACCAACUGUUGUGGAACUCUGUACGGGCGUUGACGAAUUGGCUGCUUCUCUUUCAGUCGAAUUGCAUGCUCAGAGUUGUCCGGCCUGGAUUAGGAGAAAGACCAACCGAGCAAACAAAACAAUUACUUCUAAUCCAAAUAAACUCUUAAAGGGUACAAAAUUAUAAUAAUAAAAUAAACUUGUAAUCAAGAAUACAAUAAUCAAUUUAAUAGAGAACACUCAGCAUGCUCCGAUGACGUCAUUAUGUCAUCACAUGACUCCUGGUGCGCCACAACCGGAAAUAACCCUGCUUGAAAACAAAAACUUGGAAAAUGUUUGGAAGUGAAAACAGGUUAGCAUGGAUGCAAACUGAAGCAGGAACACCGCGUGUGCACCCACGAUGAACCGCAUCAGUUUAACCUGUAACAGAAGCAAGUUAGCGAUUGUGUGUGGGCGUGUGCGCAUGUUGACACAGACUCAUAAUUAAGUCCCGGCUCGUGACUGCUUCUCCGUCACACAGUCCCUAUGGCAAGCAGUUUUCUGCAUGGUCAGCAUAGAAGGCCAUAUUGUCUUUAGAGGGUCCAGCCAACAUUCCAGAAAGGACAGUGUUUUCCAUCUUCUACAUCUCCAACACCCAAUCAGGGUGAGGUAGCCAAGACUUUGGAGUUCAUUCAACGGUAAAACUAUUCCUAUUUUUUUUUUUUUUUUUUUUUUUGAAAGGACCAAAAAACAAUGACAUGGUUUUAAAGCAAGUUAUGAUUAACAUUUGACAAAGUUGGUGAUGUUUUCUCUUUACAUAAUUAAAAACGACUAUAUAUUGUACCUGCUGUCUUCAGAUUAUAUUCUCAGGAAUUUUCCCAUUUUUAAUUGUGUUUUUUAGUUGCUUCAUUGGGAUUAACACAGAAAGGGGCACAAAAGCCGGUGAUGGGAAGAUGGUAUCCAAAAAGACAGGAAAGAAUAAGCAGACAGUGAAUGUGCAGGUUUCAACCCUCAUCAAAAACCUGAUGGACUUUGAGUGGCAUCUCAUUCAGUAAGUGCCACUUGGAGUCUUGAAAACCAUUAAUAGUUCACAUUUUAAAACCUUAUUAAUUCUAGAAUUCCACAUUAUUUCAACCAUGUUGAAUUUUUGAUUUUAGAAGUCUUUUUUCUAUUAUUUGUUUAGUGAUUCCCAAAGCAUGUAUGUUUCUUUAAGAACUGUGUUUUUAUGUUCUUAAGAUUGUAGAAAUUAAUGAAUUAAACCCAGUUUAUGUCACUGUAAAGUGAAAGUCUUCAAUUUUUAUUCCAGUGUUAGUGUUAGGCCUAUUUUUUUUACCAGUUCUCUGAGGAAUGGUUAUGUGUAAUUUGUUUUUAAUGUUUGAAUAUACUGGAAAUAUAUAUCUGGUUUGAGGCACAGUGAUGCCUUUAAAUAAAAAAAUCUGUUCUGAAGGUUACUUAUCGCAUCCUCUUUUGUGUUAUGUGAAAUUUUGAUUAUGCAUUUUAGAACCGCACCAAUUUUAGCACUUCUAAGAAGCCUACACUGGGUCAGGUAUUACCAUUCUAUUGGAAAACUAAGAUGGUACUUUACUAAGUAGCAUUACAGUUUUCUUGGCAGCAGCUUACUUAUAAAGUGAAUGCAGUAGUAAAACUAAACUUGCAGUAAAAAUACUGGAACCUACAGACGCCAGUAUUUGAAAGUGUAUCUACUUUCACCACUGUAUUUUACAGUGGCCAACAGGUACAAACACCCAGCAAACACGGGAAAAACAAAUGCAACAAAGAAGAGAUGCAAAGAGCUGUCUGUUGAUGCAGCAGGAGCAGAUGUCUCCGAAAACGUCGGAGCAAUAUUGCAAUUAGGUGAUGCGCUGAUGAACCGAGCAGAAAUGUGAGAUUUAUACAUCUACAUUUUUGCCUACAAACAUUGUUUAAAGCAUAUUGUGUCACAGUUGCUAAGCAACAUAAUUCCAAGGUGGAGGCUAGGCAGUAAAACUAACAAUAGACGCCAGUAUUUUACUGUUGUUUGGAAAGAACAGUAAACUACUGGCAGCAAUAGACGCCAGAAGUUUACCGUUCUUUCACAGCAUCUAUAUCGUACUUGCAUUGACAAUAAUCUGUCGGGAUUAAUUACGGUACAGCUACUGUGCAUUUACAGUAAACUUCUUGCGUCUAUAGCUGCCAGUAUUUGACUGUAAAUUUACAGGAUUAUUUCUUAGUGUACAUAGCAAGUCCACAACAUCUUAAAAUUGUCUCAUUUUUUUUGUUGCCAUUUUUCUGUACUCUUUAAGUACAGAAAAAAGUAAAUGCUUUCUCUGUUUAA